GAGUAUUCAUGGUUAGAGUCUCAGUCUCUAUUACGGGCCCUAGUACACUUCAGGAACUCAAAAGCUUUGCUGAUAUAAUGCAAGGUGAUAAAAAAGUAGAAAGACUUGGGAUAAUCUUGAUUUCUGAAGGCAUCAAACGGGAAUUAGAGAAAGCAGCAGGAAAAACGAAGGCCUUUUUAAGUUCCAUGAGAACUACGGUUUGCAAGACUGGUCAAAACAGUACAAUGCAAGCGGCAAGAAUCAGGAAGUGCACAGAAACAAGAAGCUCGGUGCACACUGGGAUCAGGCAAGCAUCUGGGAGAAGACUGUAGCAAGACUGGAUCCUGAGAAAUAUACAGAGUUCAGAGGCUCCAUGGCUACACUUUGGGCAUGUAUGUCAUUACAGGAAUGAAAAAAAGAUGAUGGCCAAAUGCUGUAUUAAAAUCCCAUUAGAAAUGCCGGGAGAAAUUUAUGGCCCCAAUCUCUUUUAUCUGACAGCAGUUCCCAUGUGAUCCAUCAGGCUCUGAACAUGAAUUUUAAUGGGCUCAGAACCACUUCUCUACCCUGAGGUCACAGGCUGUCAGAGUGAAUCUUCCACAAACUGAUUGGAACCUGAAGAAUUUGCUCUGUCAAGAGAGGAAAAAAGGCAUAAACCUUAGGUGGUAUGGAGAAUGAGGAAAGGGGAGGAGAAGGAGAAAUCCAAAAGAUAGGUGGAAAACCAUGGGAGCAAAUCAAGGCAGGAAAUCAGAGAAAUCAAAGCCAGAGAGCAUCUCAGGAAGAGCUGAUGGCUACCAGCACUGAAUACCACAGAGAUUAUUACAUCGCAAGACAAUGCAUCGCUCCAGCAAGGAUAACAAAGCGAAUGGGAAGGAAAGGGUUAUGAAGAGUUCAUGGAAGGCACCUUAGGCAGACUACUUUUAGGAAAGAGUGGAUGUGGAAGCUAAGUAUCUGGAAAUUGAUUUCCUUAGAACAGUUUGUGUUUGCAUGUCUUCUGAAAGGUUUUAUGUACUCCCAAGAGUAAGUAUACCUGUUUGAAGAAGCUGCUCAAUAUAGUUCUUAAAAUAGUCUACAAACAUGUUACCCCAGCAUAGUAAGAAAUAGGAGUACAGCCAGAAAUGAGAGUGGGAAUGAUUAGAGAGACCUCUUUGAGGCCUUGGUCGUGGGCAGGAGCACAGUGGGCCGGGCUCUUUCUAGAUGUGCUUUAAUCAUCAGGAAUUCUGAUACAAUUAUAUUUUGACUAUGAUAUAUAAGCUUCAUUUGAUUACUGUUGCCAAAUAUUUUUUGCUCUUCACGAAGUAAACCUCUUUUUAAAACUUUUUAACUGGCAAAUAAUAAUUGCAUCUAUUUAGGGAGUACAUUGUGAUGUUUUGAUACAUGAUUACAUUGUGGAAUGAUUUAAUCAAUCUACUUAAAUUUAGUGAAAAUAACUUAAGCUAUUAAUCUCAGCCUUGGUGGCUUCUCCUAAUUUAUGCUUACACAAGAGGCUAUCUUCAUUGUGAAAUGUCACAGACUCUCACAAGCAAGAGAAGAAAAUGUAGAGAAGCCCCUCAAAUAAAAUGCAUUAGGUUAAUUCAUACCGACAAAUGUGACACACUUAAAAUUGUUCCUAACAUCAGUUCAUGAUUUAUUUCAAAAGUUCUUAAUAUUCAAAAAUGCUCAAUAAUUUAAAGUAUUUCAAUGUAUAUAGCAAAUAAACCCUGCUAUUAAAACAAAAGAAUCAGGUUCAUUUCAGAAGAGUGAAAACUAGCAAGAUCUUACUGUAAAUCAACUGUUUGUUUUCAAUUAUUUGGCAUGAGAUCUUACAUAUUUUUAACCCAUGUUUUAAUUCUCGUAGAUACCCUGUUGCAAAAGUUCUGAAACAUUGUGAGAAAAAGUGUUUUUGUAGCACUUUGGCAAUGGGAGCCUCACUUCACUCUGUUAUGUAAUGUCCCAUCCAGUUUUUAGUUAAACCUGGAAACACCUUUGUCCUUAGGUGAAGCAGCAAGUCUUGCUUAAGCAAAGCUGGUGAAAUCAGAGCCUGGUCCAAGGCUCAGAAGCGUUUGCGGGGAAAAGCAAACACUUUUUGUGGGAGAAGGAAACAAAGGAGAAGAGAGGAGGAGGAAGAAAUUGAAAAAGAAGGGGAAGAGAAGAGGAAAAGAAAAAGAGACGUUGAGAGAAAGAAAAACAGAGAGCUGUGUGUGAUUGGAUGCCAUGACUCCUCAGUCUUAGUGCUAAUGCCGUUGUUACCUAACUCUAUUUAGGGAACUUUCCAGAACAAAGCGAAGCUUUGUGGGCCUGGCUUUCAGAACUUAUGCAACAAUUGUUUUGGGAGCAGACUGAAAAUUUUACAAGAGAACUGAGUUUUCAAGAGACUGACGGUGUGACCAAAAGAUCAAAGGUUUGGUGCAGUGGGACUAAGUUUCAGGCAGCCUUUCAAAUUGUGAAGACUUUCCUCCCUGUUAUGGCAGUUAAGACAUGUGAAAAUGGUAGUUCGAGACACUUAUAAGCAACUUUCUUCUUAGUUCACAAUGUUCCAUGAAUGUCAGUGCCCUCCAAACUCACGAGAACAAAGCAGGCAACCAGGAUGAUUACUCCCAAAUCAUUGAUAAAAGGAGAGAGAAGUACAGAGAUACACAGUGAUUUGUGUGGGUUGCCAAAAAGUUGCACGGUCAGUUUGACAACUGUUAUUGCCUUCAGGUUGACAAAUUGCAAAAGCAGCAUUGCUGUGUAUGGGUGGGGAGGGAGGAGGAAUUGCAUGAGUAAGAAUGAGAUGAGCAAUAGUUAGGUGGGGUGGAAAUGAAAUCUCAACAGUUAUUGGGGAUUCUGAUGUAUUUAUCAAACCAAAAGACGAUCUAAAAGCCAUACAAUCAGACUUAGAUUAGGGCAGUCUGUGAUAAGCAAAAGUUAAUAUAGUGUGUUGUUUUUGAAAAUAUGGCAUGAUAAUUAAUAGCAACUCUUUUUGUAUACUUGCUUGGUUAACAGGAGGAAACACAGAUAAAUUAAAUACUGGUUAGCAAUCUUUAAUAACCAGGAGAUGCUUAACAUUUAUUUAGAAAUCUGCAACAUUUUAUAAAUCAUUGUUUUGGCUUCUGGGACAAACUCAGAAUCUGGAACCCACGGAAACCCUUCAGUUACACAAAGGCUUUCCAGUUCAUUGCUACUGCACUGAAGAACAGUCUUCACAACUAUACCUGGAACUUACUAGGCCAAGAAGGCAAGGCGUUGGAAAGAGGCACUCUGAAUUCAAAGGCUGUUUGAAUGAACUGACUGCUUCAGCACUGUCUUGUAGAUAUAGUCCAUUCAAAUAAAAGACAAAUAUCUGACUGAAUUUUGUUAGCACGUUAAGACAUGUAUUAUAAAAAGGUUUAAGAAGAAAAUAAUGGCCACAAUUCUUCAGAAAACAUGUGAACUAAUGUGACAAAACACUGUGGUGUUGCAAACUCAAGUGCUGCUCUGGCCAAGUCACCUCGCUGAAAUCUCCACUUCCACUUGUGCAACCUACCAAGCCACUCUCUACACAGCUGCCAGAGUGAUUACAAAAACAACGCGGGAUUAUGCUACCCCUGCUUAUCUAAAAUUUGUCAAAAUGCCCGUUACACUUUGAAUAAAAUACAGAUUCCUCUCAGAUCUCAUUUCUUAUCAUGUCUUUCUCAAUCAUUAUGUUCCAGCCUCACUGACCUUCUUUCUGUUCCUGUAAAAUAUUCCUGCCUCAAGGGCGCAGGCCUACGACCUGCAGUUCUCUUUUUCCCACAUGUGACCAGGCUCUCUCUUAGCCAUCAGGUCUCAAAUAAGCUCUUUCCGUUCUGUCUAGGCAUCUUAUCAAAAUCAACCUGUGUAUUAUUAUUCAUUUAUCACAUAAUCUUGUUUUAUUUUCCUCAUAGCACUCUCACUUUCUGAAAUUAUCUUU
rnacentral:lncRNA from 1 species